rnacentral:rRNA from 1 species
UGAGGAAUAUUGGUCAAUGGGCGGGAGCCUGAACCAGCCAAGCCGCGUGGAGGAAGAAGGUACAGAGUAUCGUAAACUCCUUUUGUCAGGGGAUAAAAGGCGCCACGAGUGGCGUUCUGAAGGUACCUGAAGAAAAAGCAUCGGCUAACUCCGUGCCAGCAGCCGCGGUAAUACGGAGGAUGCGAGCGUUAUCCGGAUUUAUUGGGUUUAAAGGGUGCGUAGGCGGUCUUUUAAGUCAGCGGUGAAAGCCCGGGGCUCAACCCCGGCGAGCCGUUGAUACUGGGAGACUGGAGAGGAAGAGAGGCAUGCGGAAUUCGCGGUGUAGCGGUGGAAUGCUUAGAUAUCGCGAAGAACUCCGUUGCGAAGGCAGCAUGCUGGGCUUCUGGUCUGACGCUGAGGCACGAAAGCGUGGGGAUCGAACAGGAUUAGAUACC